CUCAAAAUUACAUCUGCGAAGAUUUAACAUUCCAUUUUGUUUGAUGCACAUAACUGGAGCGUGUUCUUUGACGUAAUUUUGCGGCAAAUCAGACUCAAAUUUAAGUGCAUUUACGUUUUUCGCUUGACCGUGCACUGUGCAGUGAGAAGGCGGCCAUGUUUGAAUCCACAAAGAAAGAUGCGUUUGAACGAAAAGGUUUAGUUUCGCGAAACUUGUCCAGAAAAGUAGAAAUCUUUUGCCAAAUAUUGGUAGAGCAUUGAAAAGUACCUACUACAUAAAGAUGUUGGAGCUUUCAUUAUCAAGAUUAUUCUGCCACCCGAUCCAGGACCGCAACUCUAGGUUCCUGCAGGCCAUGGCUAUGAUCAUUCCCGUUCUCAUUUCGGAAAGACAACGGAGUUCUUGGCCCCAUAGAAGGGGAUUAUGACGAAGUUCCAGAGCAACGUUCCGGUGACCAGAGGCAGAUUCUCCCCGUCUUUUCCGGAACACCUCGUUGUGGAAUCGAUUCCUGCUUUAUUUUUAACAAGCAAGCUUCUCGCCUGGCCCCAGCCGAAACAGUUUCAAACAAGGUUAGGUUGAUUCGAUUGUCGUCAACUGGCCAGAUCCGGAGUGAAGAUUGUCCACACAGAUCUUCUAGUAGAAGGGGAACGGAUUCGUGCCCGUGACAGUUUUCGAACAGUUUGAGGCCGCCAGCUGAUGAACGGGUCCGAGGACGGGCCGGAACAUGGACGGAUUAAUUUGGCGAAAACAGUGCUUUUGAAUGAAUCAAAAAAAGUGACGUAUGUUAUUGUCAGUUCUAGUGAUUUUUUUUUUUAUAAAAACGAUAGCGUAAUAUGUUAAUGAGCAUGAAAUAAAGAAAUAUUUAUGUGAAAACUUUUCUAUUUUUAUUUUCUAACCUAAAAAUCACAGCUUUUUUUCAUCCAGCAGCAGCACGGGUAAAAUUACA